CCUACGGGUGGCUGCAGUCGAGAAUCAUUCACAAUGGGGGAAACCCUGAUGCUGCGACGCCGCGUGGGGGAAUGCGGUUCUUCGGUUUGUAAACCCCUGUCAUGUGGGAGCAAAUUACAAUGAUAGUGCCCCAAGCGGAAGCGACGGCUAACCCGGUACCAGCAGCCGCGGUAAUACAGGGGUCGCAAGCGUGGUUCGGAUUUACUGGGCGUAAGGGGGGCGGAGGCUGGUGUGUAAGUCGUGUGGGAAGGGCGCGGGCUUAACCCGCGGACGGCACUUGACACUGGGAGACUAGAGUAAUGGAGGGGGAGGCGGAAUUCGCGGUGUAGCAGUGAAAUGCGUAGAGAUCGAGAGGAACACUCGUGGCGAAGGCGGGUUCCUGGACAUUAACUGACGCUGAGGCACGAAGGCGAGGGUAGCGAAAGGGAUUAGAUACCCUAGUAGUC
rnacentral:rRNA from 1 species